UUUGGCUCACAGGGACGCACAGGUGGAAGUGACCAGCCAAGCCUGGGAUGCUGCACAGGGGCUUCUACCAUGAUGCUAGGUGGAGAUCUUGUCUCAGAGGCUGUGCCAGCAUAUAUUGUCUCUCCUGGAUGCUAAUGUGACAGCUCCCGGGGGGACCAAGCUCACUUGGCUUCUCCUAACCGUGUUUUACUCAACGUGUGUGCUCAACACACUUUUAUUCAAGGAGAAGAGAGAAAGACUUGGAGAGCUAGGGAUGUCUUCCUGCCUCCAGGCACUGUGAAAUGCAGCACAUGUAGACUGAGGUCUUGUAGCUCUUCUCUCUUGCCAUCCUCAUCAGAGCUGGCAAGAAAAUACAGGGUAGAAGGCAAGCACCAUAUUCAGCAAAGGUCCAAGCAAGAAAUCAGGCAACCCGUUUGUUGUAGCUCCUUGGAGUUUUAUGAAUCCAAGUAUACCCUCAUCUUGGGAAGUCUGGGUUUGCUUUGUGGGCCAGAAAUAGAGGCUAGACCCAGAUCUUGCUUGAACUUGUCCAGUAUUGUGAUAACAACAGCUGACCUGGAAUUCAGGACCCCCUCCUCUUCGGCUUUUGGUGGUGGUUUGAGCUAAUUCCUGCCGCUUCCACAGAGGGAAGCAUUGAGGUGUAUGUGAUAGCAUUUCCCACCCGUGUGGCAAG